GUUUAUCUUAUAUUUUAUCUACCCCAGAACUCAUCUCCAAAAAAUGGGGAAAGAGAGAUGAAGGGGAUGAUAGAAAAACAAGGUAGCUGAACUUGUACUUUAAUUGAAAAAAAAAACAUAAUUACUCUAAGCAAAAAAUAGUUGUAGACGAAAGCACAUGUUCAAAGAAACAAAGUGAUCAAAACCAUAUUAACUUUAUGUUUUUUCUCUUCCCACCUAACCUCCAGAUUCCUAACUUGUUUCAUCCUACUGGUUCUUUUCAAAUUAUACCUGUGAUAAUUCAGCUGUUAAAAGAGGAGUUUUGAAGUCCUGUUAAUACGUGACUCGAGGAAAAUCCAAGAGUGGGAGCCACUGCAACCUUUCAUCCAAUAGCCAUGGUCACGGCCGAAGCCAAGCAAUCCUGCCAUCUUUGGGCUCCAGAAUAAAAGAGCUUCACUCUUCCCAAGGUUUACCUGUGAGGACCAAGGUAAGAAAGAAAAAUUUCUUGACAAAUAUUUGUCAAGAAAUACUUGUCCUAAAGUCCAAAUCUAAGUUUAUUCACUAAUCAUUGUACUUGUAAGCCAACCGAGGUAUACAGCAUCUGAAUUCCUCAAGCUAUAUUGCUGGAAAUCCAU
rnacentral:lncRNA from 1 species